UUAACACAUGCAAGUCGCACGAGAACGCUUCAGCUUGCUGAGGUUAGUAAAGUGGCGCACGGGUGAGUAUCGCGUGGGUAAUCUAACCUCUGAAUUGGGGAUAACAUUGCGAAAGCGAUGCUAAUACCGAAUAACAUCUUAAAUACUUCGGGUAUUUAAGAUCAAAGAUGGCCUCUACAUGUAAGCUACUGUUUGGAGAUGAGCCCGCGUACCAUUAGCUUGUUGGUAGGGUAACGGCCUACCAAAGCGACGAUGGUUAGCUGGUCUGAGAGGAUGAUCAGCCACACUGGAACUGACACACGGUCCAGACUCCUACGGGAGGCAGCAGUGAGGUAAUUUUGCGCAAUGGGGGAAACCCUGACGCAGCAACGCCGCGUGAGUGAUGAAGGCUUUCGGGUCGUAAAGCUCUGUCAAGCGGGAAGAAACUGCCCCGUGCUAAUAUCACGGGACACUGACGGUACCGCUGAAGGAAGCACCGGCUAACUCCGUG
rnacentral:rRNA from 1 species